GACGAACGCUGGCGGCGUGCUUAACACAUGCAAGUCGAACGGAAAGGCCCUGCUUUUGUGGGGUGCUCGAGUGGCGAACGGGUGAGUAACACGUGAGUAACCUGCCCUUGACUUUGGGAUAACUUCAGGAAACUGGGGCUAAUACCGGAUAGGAGCUCCUGCUGCAUGGUGGGGGUUGGAAAGUUUCGGCGGUUGGGGAUGGACUCGCGGCUUAUCAGCUUGUUGGUGGGGUAGUGGCUUACCAAGGCUUUGACGGGUAGCCGGCCUGAGAGGGUGACCGGCCAAAUGGGGACUGAGAUACGCCCCAGACUCCUACGGGGGGCAGCGGGGGGGAAUAUUGCACAAGGGGCGGAAGCCUGACGCAGCAACGCCGGGGGGGGGAUGCCGGCCUUCGGGUUGUAAACCGCUUUCGCCUGUGACGAAGCGUGAGUGCCGGUAAUGGGGAAAGAAGCCCCGGCUACCUACGU
rnacentral:rRNA from 1 species